rnacentral:lncRNA from 1 species
GCCUCUUGUCAACGUUUGAUCUUCCGUUCUCCACACACAGAAGGAAAUGCCUUCGUCAUUAUAUUGUAAUAAAUCACCACAGUAAUUCCACUAAUAUCUUUUGACCUCACACUCUUAUUGGCUGAUUAAUUAUGGGUAUAGCAUUAAGGGCUGAGGGUAUAGUUAAAAUCAAUCUAACAGUAGGAUGGAGAAGCAGCUAAAGCUUAGCUAACUUAGCGGAUUAAACUAUACAGAGGUUAGGUCGCCUUACGUCGAGUUUACGCGCUUGUAUUUGUUCCACGCGUUCUCGUGCGCGAAUUUUACCUCUCACCUACGAUCCAGGUUUUAAAAGGGGUUAGGCAGAUUCUCGCACGCGUUAACUCAAGAAAUGAUGUACAUAGAAAGACGCGUGCGUGAGACGCAGGCUUUCGUGAACUCGCGUUACACGCGUGAACUUUAUAGUGUCAAAACGCCUUGGAGUUAAAAUCAGGCUACGCGAACAGAAACACUUAAUGACGUAAUGAACAUUUCGUUAUUCUUAGCUUAUUUCUUCAUAAAAAAAGACGAUUAAUACAACAAGGCAUCACAAAUGUUCUUACGUAGUCCCAUGCAAGACACCUCACUGGGCACUGUACACUUAUUUCAAAAACGGUGUUUCAAAGCAACUAGAUGUCAAGGCGAGUACAGGACAGAAUUAGUUUUUGCAGCAGCAAGCUUAAUCAAGUAUCUUAACCCGUUAACAAACGACUCACUUACGUGCUCCUUGCUAGCAACUAAUGCAGUCCAUCAUUGCUGUGAACAUUUCUUUCAGGACUUCGUUGGAAUUAUCUGAUAUAACAACAACAACAACGACAACAUCACCAGCGAGAACAUCGAGGAGAGAGCGUCCAACACUGGAUGAGUUAUAUCUACCUAAUCGUUGUUUUGAUCAAGGCUUUUGGCAGGAAGUGGAGCUGGAAAUCUAAUUUAAUUUAUUUAACUUAAAGGCUCGACCAGCCGACAAACCAUAACAAGCUGAAAUCACGUGAUGUCAACCGCGGAAGUGAUUAUCACGUGAACAGAUGCGCAGAGGGUCACGUGAUGAAUUAAUGACCCAAUUGAAGUCAGCUGGUAUGGCAGAGAAAUAUUACAAAUCGAAUGGGAAUCAACUGUGAAUACUGUUGAAUCGACAAGCUGAAAUGUCGAGAACCUUAAAAAAACAGGACAGAAUAAUCCCAGAGACACUAAAGCGGCAGUGCCUGGGGAUUCAUGGCUGUUAGGGCGUGUAAAGCUGAUUUGAUAUAAUAAUUUUCAAAAUAUGGACGGUUUGCCGCCAAUCCCGAGAGAUUCAAAUGGUAAAGGUAUGGCGGCCAUGUUGGAUGUACCAACAGAAGAAGCUACAUUAGUUGGACACCUUUUGCUAAUAUCAUCCAUCAUGGCGGCGAUGACGUCACAUGAAAAAAAAAUACAUAUACAAGACUUUUUAAAAAAAAUUCAGAUUCAAUUUUUUGGACCGACCGUUAAAAGUGUAGACCGACUGACCCCUUUCAGGGUACGCGCUCGAGGUAAUUAUUUAAGGGCUUCGCAUUAGAACCUCUGGUCUCUCAUGUCGUCAAGCAACGGCCCAACGAGACAGCUGCGAAUGACACUAUAGAGCCUCGGGAUUGACAAAAUAAAAGCUCCCUUUGAAUGAACAAGUGCAAGAAACACCUUCGGAUAAAAAAAAAGAGGGCAGUGGUAGUAGGUCGAAAACGUUUGGUUUUGAAAUUUUGUAAUCGUUUCAGCCUUGUAUAUAUAUUUUUACUCUUUUAGCGACGAAUGUUUUUUCAAAAGAAAAAAAAAAGAUUCAAACUUACCAUAUAAAGGCAGUACGAGCCAAGAAUGUUGAGUCAUCGUUGCUUUUUGGGAAAUUCUGAAAUGUGAAUAUUCAGCUUGCCUUGACUCUCGCGCGUACUGGAAGAAAAAUAUUUGUUUUGAAAAAAAAAUCGCAGAUUAUAUCGCAUCGUAUUAUUUUGCCCGUCGAGCUCGACGUCACGUGCUAUUUUCGUGGUCAACUUGUGAUUUUAACAAACGUGCGCGUGUCCUCGACGUCGUUUGUUUGUUAGAACUUUGAACUUUGUCGGGUUCAUUCCGUUGCCAUAUUGAAGGGACUUUUAACCGGGAGUCCAGUCCAGAGUGUAAAUUUUCCGACUACAUAGAGAAAUAAAUAUGGCUGUUAUUUAUAAACUACAGGUUACGAAAGACGUAGGGAUAUAAUAUAUAUAGCCAAAUUUGUAAGAAUUAUUAAUACCAUGUUACAACUUCGUAAGGAGUUAGAGUAAGGGCCUAUGGCCAACUUAGAACUCUUCGCCUUGAUUUCGCGUUUGUAUAGCUUGCUAAUGGUUCAUAAAACUCCUACAGUUUGGGCUAGCCAAUCAGAUCAAAGGACUCAGUCGUCUCAACCAAUCACGUGUCAAAAGAAUGUGAUUUUCUCGCGUGAUUUUCCGCGUUUGGUGCCAGUCACGUAGUUUUUCUCGGAGCUUUGAUUGGAUCAUUACUGUUUUAAAAUGGCUCUGCGAAUAUCUUGAUUUUAGUGAAACAGUAAAAUCGUCCAUUGUUGUGUAGAAUCAUUCAAAAUGGUUUUGUUUUAACGUACGGAAAUUGGCGAAAGCGCUUGUAAGUUUGUCGAGACCAGUUUCGUCUUUGACGCGUGUAAUUUGAUUCUUUUUCAUUAGAAUUUGACAUUGAAAUUACAAAAUUUAAGAUCCGCUGUUGUUGAGUCAGCUUCGUAUCCUUUGCUCUAAAACUCCUUACCUUCUUCAUUUUUAAUCUUAAGUGUUUUCUUGCUAAUAGCGUGUACAAACUUUAUCAGCCAUUUGGGGCCUCGUCCUUUAUUUAAAUGAUCUUAUCAGUUGCUUUAAUAAGUGGCCGCAACGCGCCAAAAUGUCUUCAGCUUUUUUCACUUUUGCAUUCAAUGGAACAAAUACCGUUAAUUUUCGGUGAAGACCCCAUGCGCACCCAAUUUUUUCUACCCCAUUAGAAAACCACACGAACACUUUAUGAGUGACUUCUCGUUAGAUGGCGCAGCCACGUUGCCUAGCAACCUGACAGAGCGCUCGAAAGGAACCCAUUUUAAGCUAGACGGUACUUGCUCCAUCGAAUAUUAAGUCGCGUGUUUAAAAUAUGCUAGCGUUUGUGGUCAUCCAAGUCUUUGGCGUUUUAUACUAGACACCGUUUAUAGUUCACUCCUACUUAACGUAGUAUUGAGGUAUUUUGCAUCAGAAGUCUUAGGUCUCGUUAGUUUUCACAUUGGUUUCUGUUCAAAGUUUCCUCUUAUUAUCAGUCAGUCUGGUGCAUAGUAGCUUCGUCUCGGUAGUGCUCUACACAACGGCAGAUGUAGCUUUUCAAGGGGUAGGUUUUAUAGAUAUAUAUUUUUGUAAAUUUUUAUAUAAUUCGCCAGACAGUUUUCUAGAAAUCCUCGGUCGUGGCUGGAGGAGGUCGUUUGAAGAGAAAUUUAAUAUAUAGAAACGAAAAAAAAAUAAAAUAUAUAUAUUUGCACCUUGAA